AUACUUACCUGGUAGGGGAGAUACCAUGAUAACAAAGGUGGUUUUUCCAGGGUGAGGCUCAUCCAUUGCACUCCAGAUGUGCCUAUCCCUGCUAGUUCCCCAAUAUGUGAAACUCGACUGCAUAAUUUGUGGUAGAGGGGGACUGUGUUGGCACUUUCCCCUG